rnacentral:rRNA from 1 species
UACGUAGGGUGCGAGCGUUAAUCGGAAUUACUGGGCGUAAAGCGUGCGCAGGCGGCCGCGCAAGUCGAGUGUGAAAGCCCCGGGCUUAACUUGGGAAUUGCGCUCGAAACUACGUGGCUGGAGUAUGGCAGAGGAAGGUGGAAUUCCACGUGUAGCGGUGAAAUGCGUAGAGAUGUGGAGGAACACCGAUGGCGAAGGCAGCCUUCUGGGCCAAUACUGACGCUCAGGCACGAAAGCGUGGGGAGCAAACAGG